UACGAGGGGUGCAAGCGUUGCUCGGAAUUAUUGGGCGUAAAGGGUAGGUAGGUGGUCUGAUUUGUCAGGGGUGAAAGCCUUGGGCUUAACCCAAGAAGUGCCCCUGAAACGGUCAGACUGGAGUCUUGGAGAGGGUCGUGGAAUUCCCGGUGUAGCGGUGAAAUGCGCAGAUAUCGGGAAGAACACCCGUGGCGAAGGCGGCUCUCUGGGACGGUACUGACGCUGAGACGCGAAAGCGUGGGGAGCGAACAGG
rnacentral:rRNA from 1 species